AUACAAAAUGAGUAUUUUUUCAAAUUAUAAGCGUUCCAAAUUUCCGCCUUGUACUAUAUAUGGAUUCAAACCAAAAUUUCAGCCAUAAAUCGGGCUCAAAAUUUUGGUUUCGUUAUUGCUGCAUGGCUACCAUUAUUUUCGUCGUCCUCUAGCAUGCAGGAGG
rnacentral:lncRNA from 1 species